rnacentral:rRNA from 1 species
AUGGCGCCGAAUUGUGGUCUAUAGACUUUGACGUUAUCUGCCGGGCCAAGUUCCUUGGAAAAGGACAGCUGAGAGGGUGAGACUCCCGUCCGCCUGGUAGAAUGAGUCUUUGUCAACGAGUCGAGUUGUUUGGGAUUGCAGCUCUAAUUUGGUGGUAAAUUCCAUCUAAAGCUAAAUAUUGGUGGGAGACCGAUAGCGUACAAGUACCGUGAGGGAAAGAUGCAAAGAACUUUGAAAAGAGAGUUAAAGAGUACCUGAAAUUGCUGAAACGGAAGCGAAGGAAACCAGUGUUUGUUGGUUCAUAUUUCCCUGGCCACUUGUGGUUUGGGCGCUGUGAGCUUGCGUGGGUUUGCUUUGGUUGAUCCCUUUGGAAGAGCGCAGACAGAGUUGAUGUCUGUUGCUAGCACUGGGUUUGACUAAUGCAGACGAAAUGGUUUUCUUUACCCCGUCUUGAAACACGGACCAAGGAGUCUAACAUAUGUGCGAGUACAGGGGUGUCAAACCCCGGUGCGUAAUGAAAGUAACAGUGGUUGGAUAUUUUGCACAAUCCGCCGGCCUCAAUCCUUCGGGAGAACGGUCUGAGUGUGAGCAU